rnacentral:rRNA from 1 species
AUUGAACGCUGGCGGCAGGCCUAACACAUGCAAGUCGAACGAGUGGCGGACGGGUGAGUAAUGUCUGGGAAACUGCCUGAUGGAGGGGGAUAACUACUGGAAACGGUAGCUAAUACCGCAUACCAUCAGAUGUGCCCAGAUGGGAUUAGCUAGUGGGUGGGGUAACGGCUCACCAAGGCGACGAUCCCUAGCUGGUCUGAAGGGAUGACCAGCAACACUGGAACGGAAAAACGUUCCAGACCCCUACGGAGGGCACAAGUGGGGAUUAUUGCACAAUGGGCGCAAGCCUGAGGCAGCCAUGCGGGGUGUAUGAAGAAGGCCUUCGGGUUGUAAAGUACUUUCAGCGGGAAGGCGUUACCCGCAGAAGAAGCACCGGCUAACUCCGUGCAAGCAGCCGCGGUAAUA